GGUUCUGGCUCACUGGUAGAGUGCUUGCCUAGCACACAUGAGGCACUGGGUUCAAACCUCAGCACCA
rnacentral:tRNA from 1 species